CACAUGAGACAAACUAAGUUUCCAAGCACUGUGGAAUAUUCGGUUAGGAAUAUCCAUCAGUAGCUGAUACUGUGUAUCUGGAGUUUAUGUGUAAUGUUGGGGUUGACCCAGAAAUAUCAGUGCCAAGACUCAUAUCAGCCAAAAGAGUUGAUAAGAUGUUCCAAAAAGGUAGCAUUUGGAAACCCCAGGAGUUCAAUUCAAUCUCAGUUUUGCUGGAACAACCUUAAUGACACCCUAUUCAAACCUGGUGAGGUGAACUGCUAUUCCCAAAAUUCUGAAAGAUCAAAACUUGGAUUCAAACAAUUUAGGAUACACUUUCAGGAUAAUAGAAUUGGGGAAGAAGUAUAUAAUGAUUACUUGGAGUGGGGAGAAGGUGCUAAUACCAAUUCCAGUUAAUCUUUUAAUGAAGAAUGGAUCUUCAUGUGAUGACCGAGGGAGAAAUUUUUACAAUAUCGUUUGCUACAAUUUCAUAUAAAAAGAGUUAAAUUUGCAAUCAAAAGGCAUAUGCUCAAAUCCCAAACCAAGUACCUACUAGCCAUGCGACUUUGCACAAGUCACUCCAUCUUCCUGAGCCUCAAUUUUCUAUAUACAAAAAAGAGAAUAAUAGACUUUCCAUCAUACCAAAAAAUGAAGACCAAAUGAAUUGGGUAAACUAUAGCUAUACAAAUUUAAAGUAUUAUAAUAUUUACCAAAAAUGUAGAGUUACAAUAGCAGCUCUAUAAAUAGAGCAGUAGUAGGUUUGUUGUUGUUGUUGUUGUUGAUUUGUUUGUUUUGCAUUAGAUUCUUUCACUUCAGGAGUCUAGUGUGAAUUGGAAGCUUCUAAACUGGUGUCAUCAAAUUUAUGGGACUCAUUUUCUGAUUCAAGAAAAUCAGCUUUGAGAUUCAGACUCCUCUGGACCUUUUAAUUCAAAUCUAGUCUAGUUCUCAAGAAGCAUAUUAGCAACACAGGUAAGCCCCCAAAUCUCUCUUGGAUAUCUUGCCUAAUGUUUCAUGGUAUAAAUACUAACCAGAAUAUUUGUGUCUGGUACUAAAAUGUCACCCAGAAUUUUUAGGUAAGGCCUAAAGAUGUGUAUUAUUCUGUUCUCACACUGCUAUAAGAUACUACCCAAGACUGGGUAAUUUAUGAAGGGAAGAGGUUUAAUUGACUCACAGCUCCACAUUACUGACUAGGCCUCAGGAAACUUACAGUCGUGGUGGAAUCCUAGGGGGAAGCAAGCUUGGACCUUUUGUCAUGGCAGCAGGAAACACAGAACUACGAGGAGUGAAGGGGGAAGAACCUCUUAUAAAACCAUCUGAUCUUGUGAGAACACACUCAUUAUCAAGUGAUAAUUAUUAACUCACUCAUUAACAGCAAGGGAAAACUGCCCUCCAAUCACCUCUCACCUCCUUAGACUUGUGGGGAAUAUGGGGAUUACAGUUCAAGAUGAGAUUUAGGUGGGAACACAGCCAAACCAUAUCAGAAUGCCUUUCAACAUAGCCACAGUGUUAGGUGUCAUGCUUCUUAUGUGUUUAUUUCAGUUACUGUUUUCAUCCUUUAGUUCCCCUGACAUGCUAAACACAUUCAUAUGAAUUUACCUUCCAGGUGUUACACAAAGGUGUUUAGUUAUAACCUAUAUUGAAAGCACUUUGACUCUGUUAACAUAUCUUAAUUAAUGUGAAUUGAAAAGAACUUAGUGACUGCAAAUGCUGUGAAGAGAUACUUAUAGGUGUCUACACAAUAUGAGGUAAAAUUACAAUUCAAUGGGUUCUUUAGAACCCAAGAAAUGAGAAUUUAUCAAAACCGCAAAGCAAGCAUGAAUCAAUCCCAUUGCUGCAACUGCUCUGGGGAGAUAAGAACAUAAAAGUUGCAGUAGACAGUUUGCUUAAAAGCCCCACUUCGUAGACUCCAGAUGAUGAAAAGUGACUUCAGUUGCCCAUUUUAUCCAGUCCCUUUUCAUUCCCUGCUUUAGAAACUCAAACCCAAGUCACCCAUAUGCCAGUCUCAAUCCCGUAAAACCUCCUUUGUAACUGCCCUUUCCAAGACCUUGUGUUUAUUUCUUGACAAGAUUAUUAAUAAAAAUCAACUUGGGUUUUGAUAAUGGUUUUUC
rnacentral:lncRNA from 13 species